rnacentral:rRNA from 1 species
AUUGAACGCUGGCGGCAGGCCUAACACAUGCAAGUCGAGCGGAGCGACGGACGGGUGAGUAAUGCCUAGGAAUCUGCCUGGUAGCAGGGGAUAACGUCCGGAAACGGGCGCUAAUACCGCACCCCAUCAGAUGAGCCUAGGUGUGAUUAGCGAGUUGGUGGGGUAAAGGCCUACCAAGGCGCCGAUCCGUAACUGGUCUGAGAGGAUGCUCAGUCACACUGGAACUGAGACACGGUCCAGACUCCUAAGGGAGGCAGCAGUGGGGAAGAUUGCACAAUGGGCGAAAGCCUGAUCAAGCCAGGCCGCGUGUGUGAAGAAGGUCUUCGGAUUGUAAAGCACUUUAAGUUGGGAGGCGUUACCCGCAGAAGAAGCACCGGCUAACUCCGUGCCAGCAGCCGCGGUAAUUC